CCUACGGGAGGCAGCAGUGGGGAAUCUUGCACAAUGGGGGAAACCCUGAUGGAGCGACGCCGCGUGAGUGAAGAAGUAAUUCGUUACGUAAAGCUCUAUCAGCAGGCAAGAACAUGACGGUGCGUGAGAAAGAAGCACCGGCUAACUACAUGACAGGAGCCGGGGGAAUAAGUAGGGGGCAAGAGCUAGGCGGAUUUACAGGGGGUAAAGGGGGCGUGGACGGGGCGGCAAGUAUGGAGGGAAAUGCCGCAGGUUAACUGCGGAACUGCUUUGGAAACUGGCGAACUAGAGUGCGGAAGGGGUAAGGGGAAUUCCUAGUGUAGCGGUGAAAUGCGUAGAUAUUAGGAGGAACACCGGUGGCGAAGGCGGCUUACUGGACCGUAACUGACGUUGAGGCUCGAAAGCGUGGGGAGCAAACAGGAUUAGAUACCCCAGUAGUC
rnacentral:rRNA from 1 species